rnacentral:rRNA from 1 species
AUUGAACGCUGGCGGCAUGCCUUACACAUGCAAGUCGAACGGCAGCACGGGAGCUUGCUCCUGGUGGCGAGUGGCGAACGGGUGAGUAAUACAUCGGAACGUACCCAGGAGUGGGGGAUAACGUAGCGAAAGUUACGCUAAUACCGCAUAUUCUGUGAGCAGGAAAGCGGGGGAUCGCAAGACCUCGCGCUCUUGGAGCGGCCGAUGUCGGCUUAGCUAGUUGGUGAGGUAAAAGCUCACCAAGGCGACGAUCCGUAGCAGGUCUGAGAGGAUGAUCUGCCACACUGGGACUGAGACACGGCCCAGACUCCUACGGGAGGCAGCAGUGGGGAAUUUUGGACAAUGGGGGCAACCCUGAUCCAGCCAUGCCGCGUGAGUGAAGAAGGCCUUCGGGUUGUAAAGCUCUUUCGGCGGGGAAGAAAUGGCAACGGCUAAUAUCCGUUGCUGAUGACGGUACCCGCAUAAGAAGCACCGGCUAACUACGUGCCAGCAGCCGCCGUAA